rnacentral:rRNA from 1 species
UGAGCAACCUACCCUCAACUUCGGGAUAAGCCUCGGAAACGGGGUCUAAUACCGGAUAUCACUCCUUACUUCAUGGUUUGGGGUUGAAAGUUCUGGCGGUUGGGGAUGGGCUCGCGGCCUACCAGCUUGUUGGUGGGGUAAUGGCCUACCAAGGCGACGACGGGUAGCCGGCCUGAGAGGGUGACCGGCCACACUGGGACUGAGACACGGCCCAGACUCCUACGGGAG